rnacentral:rRNA from 1 species
AUUGAACGCUGGCGGCAGGCCUAACACAUGCAAGUCGAACGAGUGGCGGACGGGUGAGUAAUGUCUGGGAAACUGCCCGAUGGAGGGGGAUAACUACUGGAAACGGUAGCUAAUACCGCAUACCAUCGGAUGUGCCCAGAUGGGAUUAGCUAGUAGGUGGGGUAACGGCUCACCUAGGCGACGAUCCCUAGCUGGUCUGAGAGGAUGACCAGCCACACGGGAACGAAGACACGGUCCAGACUCAUACGGGAGGCAGCGGAGGGGAAUAUUGCAAAAUGGGAGCAAGCCUGAUACAGCCAGGCCGCGUGUAUGAAGAAGGCCUUCGGGUUGUAAAGUACGUUCAGCGAGGAGGCGUUACUCGCAGAAGAAGCACCGGCUAACUCCGUGCCAGCAGCCGCGGUAAUAC